rnacentral:rRNA from 1 species
UGCAAGUCGAGCGGACAGAUGGGAGCUUGCUCCCUGAUGUUAGCGGCGGACGGGUGAGUAACACGUGGGUAACCUGCCUGUAAGACUGGGAUAACUCCGGGAAACCGGGGCUAAUACCGGAUGGUUGUUUGAACCGCAUGGUUCAGACAUAAAAGGUGGCUUCGGCUACCACUUACAGAUGGACCCGCGGCGCAUUAGCUAGUUGGUGAGGUAACGGCUCACCAAGGCGACGAUGCGUAGCCGACCUGAGAGGGUGAUCGGCCACACUGGGACUGAGACACGGCCCAGACUCCUACGGGAGGCAGCAGUAGGGAAUCUUCCGCAAUGGACGAAAGUCUGACGGAGCAACGCCGCGUGAGUGAUGAAGGUUUUCGGAUCGUAAAGCUCUGUUGUUAGGGAAGAACAAGUGCCGUUCAAAUAGGGCGGCACCUUGACGGUACCUAACCAGAAAGCCACGGCUAACUACGUGCCAGCAGCCGCGGUAAUACGUAGGUGGCAAGCGUUGUCCGGAAUUAUUGGGCGUAAAGGGCUCGCAGGCGGUUUCUUAAGUCUGAUGUGAAAGCCCCCGGCUCAACCGGGGAGGGUCAUUGGAAACUGGGGAACUUGAGUGCAGAAGAGGAGAGUGGAAUUCCACGUGUAGCGGUGAAAUGCGUAGAGAUGUGGAGGAACACCAGUGGCGAAGGCGACUCUCUGGUCUGUAACUGACGCUGAGGAGC